ACACGUAGGAGGCAAACGUUAUCCGGAUUUACUGGGCGUAAAGCGCGUGUAGGUGGUACUGUAAGUAGGGCGUGAAAGCUCCUGGCUCAACUGGGAGAGGCCGUUCUAAACUGCAGCACUCGAGUUUGGUAGAGGAAGAUGGAAUUCCAGGUGUAGCGGUAAAAUGCGCAGAUAUCUGGAGGAACACCAGUGGCGAAAGCGGUCUUCUAGACCAAUACUGACACUCAGACGCGAAAGCUAGGGUAGCAAACGGGAUUAGAGACCCCGGUAGUCCUAGCCCUAAACGAUGUAGACUAGGCGUUGGUGGCUUAAUCGCCAUCAGUGUCCAAGCUAACGCGAUAAGUCUACCGCCUGGGGACUACGGCCGCAAGGUUAAA
rnacentral:rRNA from 1 species